rnacentral:tRNA from 1 species
GCUUGGGUAGUUUAACGGUAAAACUUUAUCCUCAUAAGAUAAUAAUGGGUAUUCGAUUUACCCCUCAAGCUC